GCUACCUUCUCUUUUAUGAAUCAGUAGGAUUUCGAGUUUGUUACAUAUGCCUCCAAAUCAUUCAGCGAUUAUCCACGUAUGGCGUCUAAACAUCUUGUUAUUAGUAGAUACUAAUCACAAUCGUUGUGCAUAAACAACUUUGAAUCUUUGAUUAUAUUAUUUUAACAAUCAGUAUAUAUAUCACAACGAUUACGAGGUUUUGCACUCCAAUCCAUCUCAUUUUCUUGAAGAAAUAAUAAUCAUGCAUAAUCAUCUAAAGUGCUUUUGAACAACUUUGAAUAGCUAAUUAAACGGAUUGCUAAUUAACAACUAACGAAUGGUGGUGAUUCCGCUUUUGAACCUAUACCUAAGAAUAACAUGACUAAAAGAGCUAACCCCACGAGUGAACAAAUAAUUUUGAUCCUAUCCAAAAUAACUAGCAUCCAAAUUCCAGUUCGAUCCAUUUCAAGUUUAGAUGCAAUGUGGAGGAUGAUUCUAUCUGAAUUUCUGGAAAGCCAAGAGUGCGUUGUGCAUCCCCAUCUAAUUAAAAGACAAAAAGUCGCAAGUAAACUGAAGCAAUUGCAUGUCCUGUGGUUUCGACAUGUAGCCAUAUUUUAACGUUGGGAUCAUCACCACAGACAAAUCUUCUUAACUGCAUCCCAAAACCAAAAGCUAGUUGCUCUAUUUUCAUGGACAGCUGGUGUCCAUACAACUAAUUACCAAAAUUGUUGUUUACGGAUUUGGAUCCUCUCCUGAGCCUAAGGAGAGGAUCCUCCUGAUCAAGACACGUGAACCGUUGAAUCUUCAUUUAAUGGCUAUAAUUACUAUAACUUUAAAGGAACCCUUUUGUUUGUAGCUGUUGGAUCGGCCCACAUGUCUUGGUCAAGAGGAUCCUCUCCUUGGGCUCAGGAGAAUAUCCAAAUCCGUUGUUUACUACCUUAAUCCAAAUCCGUUGAAUUUAAUACUUCUCACUUAUAUAUAAAACUAGCAUCACGUUUUAUAACUAUUAACUUAACCCCUAACCAGAGAUAAAAUUUCAUAACCUAAAUAACUCAGGAUAGAUCUCUAUGAUCCGUAGUGGAUUCCAGGGGAAGGGCAAACCUAACCUUGCAGUAGGAAGGAGGUCUUUGAUGGGACGGUUUCAAAUAGGACUGAACGGAGGAUAAAUUCAGUGAUCCGAUAUUUUUGGGGAUUCAUCACACCUUAAACCCUAAAACCAACUCCAAUGAGUGGGGUUAAAGCCUAAAAUUUAGGUUCUAACCUAAAAACAAUUUUUCUCCUCCAAUAGUUUUGGUUAAAAUUUUAGAUCGAGAUUAUUAAAAAAUGAAUUUAGUCUAAAUUUUUUUGGUAACUUUUUAAAAAUAAAAUUUAUAUUGAUUAUCCUAAUUUUUUUUUUGAACAUUUUAACCCAAAAAUAUUUAGAUUCUGAUAAAUAAUCAUUUAGUUAUUGGAUUUAUUUUUGGACUGUCACAUCUUUUAUUUUAUCUUUAG
rnacentral:lncRNA from 1 species